UGUCUACCCAGGUCAAGAAAUAGAAUAUCGCCAAGACCCUAGAAGCACCCACCCAGCCCGCAGUGUGCCCCAUCAGAUCACAAACACCAUGCAAUCACUUUCCUGACUUUCAUGAUAACCACUUCCUAGUUUGCUUUUUUUUUUUUCUUUUUGAGAUGGAGUUGCCCGGGCUGGAGUACAGUGAGCCAAGAUUGCACCACAACACUCCAGCCUGGGUGACAGAGCAAGACCGUGUCAAAAAAAAAAAAAUUAUUACUAGAAAUGUGUGUGGUUGGCUGACUAGUUGGUUGGGCAUUGGUUGGUUUCCCAGUUUUAGACUGAACAUACAUAUAUGAAAUAUAUGCACUUGACUGCAUCAGGUGACCACUUACCUUUUCUGUGCUUUUGCCCUUUUUUGUAGUUCCCUCCUAUCCCUUAGAAUUAUUUUCAUUUCAUCCCAGAUUCCUAUACUCAGCCUUAUCAUGUUCUCUGUAAUGUCCUUUUUCCUUUCCCUCACUUUUUUUUUCCACUCUGGUCUCCUUACUCUUUGUCCCUGUGGAGUCACAAAAUGCAGCAGAGGCUCUGCUUCUUACUCAUCUUCGUAUGAACUCUGUUCGGUUAACUCCAUAAGGCCAGCAAUCUCUCCCUGUCUGGCCCUUCUGGUGUCUUCCAACCCUGUCUUCCCUUUUACAGUACCCUGGGCCCCUAGUGGAAGAACUGACCACUCUUGUGGCAUGUCUUUGUUCUUUCUGCAACACAAAAUGAACUAGCC
rnacentral:lncRNA from 1 species